rnacentral:rRNA from 1 species
AUUGAACGCUGGCGGCAUGCUUUACACAUGCAAGUCGAACGGCAGCGCGGGCUUCGGGCUCGCGGCGAGUGGCGGACGGGUGAGUAAUUCAUCGGAACGUGCCCAGCAUUGGGGGAUAGCACGGCGAAAGGCGGAUUAAUACCGUAUACGAUCUUAGGGUGAAAGGGGGGGACCGAAAGGCCUCGCGCUAUUGGAGGGGCCGAUGCCGGAUUUGCUCGUUGGUGGGGUAAAGGCUUACCAAGGCGACGAUCCGUAGCGGGUCUGAGAGGACGACCGGCCACACUGGGACUGAGACACGGCCCAGACUCCUACGGGAGGCAGCAGUGGGGAAUUUUGGACAAUGGGGGCAACCCUGAUCCAGCCAUGCCGCGUGCGGGAAGAAGGCCUUCGGGUUGUAAAACGCUUUUGUUGGGGAAGAAAGCCUCUGGGCUAAAACACCGGGGGGAUGACGGUACCGGAAGAAAAAGCACCGGCUAACUACGUG